ACUGGGGUGAAUUGAUACCUCAUUGUGGUUUUGAUUUGCAUUUCCUUUGAUGGCUAGUGAUGGGCAAAUUUUUUUCAUAUAUUUUUUGGCUAUUUGUAUUUUUUAUUUUGAGGAAAUUUUUUUAUACUUUUGUUUGUUACGAUGUUUUGACAUCUUUAAGACCUUUUCUGGCUAAGUAGACACUGCAUCCAAUUCAAAGAUGGCUUGCCAAUUCUUUGUGUGUGUGUUUUUUUUAAAGAUUUUUGAAAAUUUAUUUGAAAGAGUUACAGAGAGAGGGAGAGAGAAAGAGAAAGAUCUUCUAUCCACUGGUUCACUCUCCAGAUGGCUGCAACAGUUAGGGUGGGCUAAGCUGAGGCCAGGAGCCAGGAGCUUCUUCCAGGUUUCUCACAUGGGUACAGAGGCCCAAGAAAUUGGGCCAUCUUGCACUGUUUUCCAAGGCCAUUAGCAGGGAGGUCAAUCAGAAGUGGAGCAGUUGGGACAUGAACCAGUGCUAUUAUGGGAUGCCAGCAUCGCAGGCGGUGGGUUUACCUCCUAUGCCACAAUGCUGGCCCACCAUUCCUUAAAGAUAAGAGCAAAGGGCCCGGCCAUGAGCACAUCGUUGAUCCAUGAACUAACCAACCCAGACUCAGACCCUCUGGAUGCAAUGAUCCUCUGUUGUAAGUAUCCCAGGGUCAAGUGCCAGGAAAUUAGGGGCUGCCCUAUAAAAGCCCAGACCCUACUGAAACUAUUCAUUCCAGCCAGUCUUCACUGGUCACCCUACCUUGCCUCAUCUUUCCCAGGGAGACCCCACGAGGACAGGGGCUGUCUCCUCCUGCCCACCUUGGGAUCUUUCCCAUGUGAUGCUGUGUGGCAUGGUAUACAUCUUGAUUCCAGGGAAAUUGGGUAUCAGAAGCCUGUAGAUGGCAUCAGUCUCAGGGCUGGCACUGUGGCAUAGUAGUUUAAUUUGCCUCUGCUUACAACGCCAGGAUCCCAUAUGGGCACUAGUUCGUGUACCAGCUGUUCCUCUUCCAUUCCAGCUCUCUGCUAAUGGCCUGGGAAGGCAGUGGAAGAUGGCCCAAGUGCUCAGACCCACCUGAUGGACCUAGAAGUAGGUCUUGGCUCCUGGCUUCAGGUUGGCCCAGCUUUGGCCAUUGUGGCCAUUUGGGGAGUGAACCAGAGGAUGGAAGAGCUCUCUCUCUCUUUCUCUGUUUCUCCCUCUCUCUGUCUGUACUCUGCCUCUCAAAUAAAUAAAUAAAUCUUUUAAAACAUAAAAAAGACAUCAGUGUCAUCACUCAGUCACCUUUACAAAUUGAAGCCUGGGCAUACUAUAAUGGGACAUUCAACCACUGAUUAAUUAGUGAAGAACUACCCAAAACAUAAAUAUAUCUGCAUUUCAUUAAAAAAGGAACUAAUAUAGGCCUACCAUACAACCCAGCCAUCCCACUCCUGGGAAUUUACUCAAAGGAAAUUAAAUUGGCAAAUAAAAGGGCUGUCUGCACCUCCAUGUUUAUUGCAGCUCAAUUCACAAUAGCUAAUACAUGCAAUCAACAUAAAUGCCCAUCAACAGAAGACUGGAUAAAGAAAUUAUGGGAUAUGUACUCUAUAGAAUACUAUACGGCAGUAAAAAAUGAAAUCUGGUUCAUUUGCAACAAAAUGGAGGAAUAUGGAAAACAUCAUGCUGAGUGAAAUAAGCCAGUCCCAAAGGACAAAUAUCAUAUGUUUUCCUUGAUCGGUGACAACUGACUGAGCACCUAAAAGGAAACCUGUUGAAGUGAAAUGGACACUAUGAGAAACAAUGACGUGAUUAGACCUUGCCCUGAGUGUCGAGGAACAACUUACUAUUUUAUUCCUUUUAGUAUUUUUUUGUUCUAUUUAAACCAUUUGUUGAAUUCUUUAAUUAACACACAAUUAUUCUUAGGUGUUUAAAUUUAACUGAAAAGUGAUGCCUGUUAAAUAUGAGAGUGGGAAUAAGAGAGGGAGGAGAUGUACAGUUCAGCACAUGCUCACUCGGACUUACCCCUAAUGGUAGUUAGAAAUGUGCCAGGGGAUUCCAGUUCAAUCCCAUCAAGGUGGCAUGUAUCAAUACCAUCUUACUUGUUAAAGUUUAACAGCCCUAACCCUAACCCUAACUCUAACCCUAACCCUAACCUAGUUGAUCAAAAAGAUAGGAUUAAGUGCCAAAGGGAUUACAUAAACAAGACCAGUGUCUGCAAAUAAUAAUUGAUAGAAUUCAAAAGGAGAGAAAGAUUCUACACGGGAAGCAGGAUACACAGCAGACUCAUAGAAUGGCAAAUGCCCUAAACCACACUCUGGCCUCAGAAUCAGCCCUUAAUGCAUUCGGAUCUGGCUAAAAAGCCCAUGAGAGCAUUUCAGGCAUGGAAAGCCAAGAUGCUGUGGUAAAAAAAAUGACCUAAAUGAAAGAUCUCUGAGUGAGAUCCCAGUGGAAAGAACGGGCCAUCAAAGAAGGAGGUACCUUUUUCUGAAGGGAGGAGAGAACUUCCACUUUGACUAUGACCUUGUCUAAAUAAGAUCAGAGUCGGUGAACACAAUAGGCUUCCAUAGCCUUGGCAGCUCAUGAGAAGAGCCUCGGAUGAUUACUGACAUCAUAAAUAAGAGUGUCAAUUGUUAAAUCAACAAUGGGGAGUCACUGUGCACCUACUCCCCAUGUAGGAUCUUUGUCUUUAAUGUGUUGUACUAUGUGAAUUAACGAAAGAGCUGCAAGUGGAGGAGUCAGACGCCGUACAGCAUGAGCACUUUCUCCCAGUUCUUCUUGGAUAAUUCAAUAACUGGUCUCACGUCCUGCCUUUGGACCUGGAGGCCAAGCCUGAUUCUGCAGCCAGGUCUGAUGUUGACCAUGAGAAAAGAACACUUCUCCUCACUACUUCCCACUUCCAGUGGAUAAUACAGAAAGCCCCUGGAUGAAUCAAUUGAAAGUCAGCAAAGAUGCCAAAUGAUGGUCUCUUCUUUGAAGAGGAAGCAUUGACAGUUGUGUUAAUAAAGGCAGAACAGUAACUCUCCUCUACAGAAACACUUCUUGGUUCGUGAGUACUAGGUCUUAUUUUUCCCGAAUGGUCUGCUGUUUUCACCUUCUUUCCUGAACGAAUGCAUGUGUUGCUUGCAACAGAGCCACAUUCUAAUGAGCAUCACUCCUUCCACACGCACUGACACAGUCAUUUAAUAAGGACUUCGGCUUCCUCCUGACACUUGCCAGGAGCCGGGCUUGAGAUGAGCCGUUUGGUGUCAGCUUGCCAGUGACAAGAACUACACAUGUGCUGAUUCGGCAGUUUUGGAAGAAGAAUCAAUUCUGUCACAUCAUCUCAAAGGACGUGAUAGGAAACAUUGUGAGUGCAAGUCAAUUCAAUAUUCAUUUAGCAGUUUAUAUUUGACAGGACUCAACACUGAGCCCCAUCUCCCUUCUGUGUCCUGUACAACAAUCAGGAUGAACUGGGCUUUUAUCGCCAUACUAGUGCCCACCACUGCCCACCGGUCCUCCAACCACUAGCACCACUGCUUCUACAGCUACCGGCUAACCUAGGGCACUCAGUAUGUGACGGGCACUGUUCUGAUAAUUUGUAAUCUAAUGCAACAGCUCUUAUGAUACAGGAAUAAUCCUUACACCUGUUUUAUAAAGGUACAAAUCAAAGACAAAGCAGCAAGUAACUUGCCUGGAGUUGCACAACUGGAAAAUGGCAGAAUUGAGGCUUUCUAGCUCGGGCACCGUGCAGCAUGCUGUAAACCACCCUGCAUUUAAGCUGCAGCCCCAGCUAUGGCGGUGAUGCGGAAGGGAACAUUUGUUUGUGCAUUUUCCUGUUAAUGGAACCAACAGGGAGGUCAUCCAGUGAAAGCCGCAUUUGUGAUCAUAUCUGUUUCAUUUUAUAGUUGGUGGCCUGAGAGCCACCCCCUGGGUCACAUCAGCAGUGCUGUUUCUUGAGGUCUCCCUGCCGCCACCUGCUCUCUCCCCGUCUGCUCGGGGUUGGUUCCUCUUGGGAACACCUGGGGAAGAGCUGGGCACUUGUCAGCACCCUCCCGCUUGCAGCUGCUCCUGGGUGCCAUCAGGCACUGCUCUCAUCUGCUGGUUCCUCAGUGGUCCCGAGAGCCCAGCGUCUGUCAUCAUUCAUUCACUAAGCAAGUGGUUUCUGUGGUCCUGUAUCGGAUGCUGGGUUCUGUUCUGGGCUAUCAGCUGGAUUGCAAGGAAGAUCAAGAAAGAUGUGAUCUUCCUUUAUGGAGGUCACAUUCCAGUGGGAGAGGCAGGCAACAAAAGCAGAAGGUGAUAAUGAAGAGAAGUAACUCAAUGGAAGUUGUCAUUGCUGGAAGGAAAAAGCAGGAAAUAAAAACUAGUAGUGAGAGGGCAUCUGGAGGGAGGUGUCAUUUAAACCGAGACCCACAAUUAUGACAGUGUUCUACAUUAAGACCGUGGUGAUGGCUACACAACUCUGAAUAUACGGAAAAGCAAUUGAAUUGUAUAUUAAUCAGGUGACCUUUAUGCUAUGUAAAUUAUAUAUCACUGGACUGCAGAACAGCCACACCUCCCCCAGGGCAGGCAGUUAGCCCAGCAGUUAGGAUGCCAGUCCAGGCCCUACAUGGAGAACCUGGCUUUGAUUCCUGGCUGCAGCUCCUGUCUCCAGUUUCCUGCUGGUGCAGACCCCAAGGGUUGUGAUGAUGGCUCAAGUGUUUGUGUUCCUUCCGCUUACAUGGGAGACCUGGUCAGAAUCCUGGCUCCCGGCUUUGGCCUUAGCCCAGCCCCAGCCAUUGAGGGAACUUGGAAUGUGAACCAGUGGAUGGGAGGUCGUUUAUUUCCCCUCUCUCUUUCCCCUACCUCUCAGAUCAAUCAAUCAAUAAAAAAUUAGACACAGUGAACCACCAGGUUCAGCAGAGAUCUGACUGGAAGGGAACUGCUCUGUAUUCUGUACCUUUUUCGGAUUCUGCUGUGUAAGGUGGGUGAGCUCUCCGUUUUGCCCCUUGAUCCUAUAUUUAGGUUAUCAUUUGUCCAUCUGCGUUACGGCUUUCACACUCACAUCGGUGUUUUCUUCUGUGUUACGUAUUUGAUGUUGAGUUUAGGCCCUUAAAAAAUUCCCUUUGUUAUAGUUCUGAUGGAGUUUAGGAGCGAUCAAAAUAAGGUGUUUAUUCAAUCUGUAAUCUUAACCGAGAACUCCCCAUACGCUCUGCUCAGUUCCCACUUGUAUGCGGUCUGCGCACGCUUUUGUUCUAUAAUCCAGCCGCUGAACGUGAUUCUAUCAGUCUGAUAGUGUUUCUGUCAAUUUUCCUGGGUUUUCUAAAUGUAUAAUUAUAUCAAGUGCUUAUCACAAUCUCGACUGUAUCUUGUCAAUAUUUAUGUUUUAUUUCUCUUGGCAAUUGCAUUGGCUAAUCCUUUUAGAAAAAAGUGAAAUAAAAACAGUGAUAGAGGGCAUCGUUAUUCUUCCUGAAUGUUAAUGGGAUUUCCUCCAAUAUUUCACCAUCAAGCAUGAUGGCUUGUCUUGAAAUGCAUCCUUACAAAAAAAGAAAAAACAAAACAAACAAAAACACCCGAACAUAGGCCAGCGCCGCGGCUCUCUAGGCUAAUUCUCCGCCUUGUGGUGCCGGCACACUGGGUUCUAGUCCCGGUCAGGGCGCCGGAUUCUGUCCCAGUUGCCCCUCUUCCAGGCCAGCUCUCUGUUGUGGCCCAGGAGUGCAGUGGAGGAUGGCCCAAGUGCUUGGGCCCUGCACCCCAUGGGAGACCAGGAGAAGCACCUGGCUCCUGCCUUCGG